rnacentral:rRNA from 1 species
CAGGGCCUGCUGCACAGGUGCUGCAUGGCUGUCGUCAGCUCGUGUCGUGAGAUGUUGGGUUAAGUCCCGCAACGAGCGCAACCCUCGCCUUUAGUUGCCAGCACGUUUGGGUGGGCACUCUAGAGGAACUGCCGGUGACAAGCCGGAGGAAGGUGGGGAUGACGUCAAGUCCUCAUGGCCCUUAUGGGCUGGGCUACACACGUGCUACAAUGGCGGUGACAAUGGGAAGCCAGGCAGCGAUGUCGAGCCGAUCCCAAAAAGCUGUCUCAGUUCAGAUCGCAUUCUGCAACUCGGAUGCGUGAAGGUGGAAUCGCUAGUAAUCGCGGAUCAGCACGCCGCGGUGAAUACGUUCCCGGGCCUU